rnacentral:rRNA from 1 species
GAUGAACGCUGGCGGCGUGCCUAACACAUGCAAGUCGAACGAAGCGACUCAAAGUUUUCGGACAGAGAGUUGACUGAGUGGCGGACGGGUGAGUAACGCGUGGAUAACCUGCCUCAUACAGGGGGAUAACAGUUAGAAAUGACUGCUAAUACCGCAUAAGCGCACAGUACCGCAUGGUACAGUGUGAAAAACUCCGGUGGUAUGAGAUGGAUCCGCGUCUGAUUAGCUAGUUGGCGGGGUAACGGCCCACCAAGGCGACGAUCAGUAGCCGACCUGAGAGGGUGACCGGCCACAUUGGGACUGAGACACGGCCCAAACUCCUACGGGAGGCAGCAGUGGGGAAUAUUGCACAAUGGGCGAAAGCCUGAUGCAGCGACGCCGCGUGAGUGAAGAAGUAUUUCGGUAUGUAAAGCUCUAUCAGCAGGGAAGAAAAUAACGGUACCUGACUAAGAAGCACCGGCUAAAUACGUGCCAGCCGCCGCUCGUAAAAC